GUCCGACCGUCUGUUCAAAAGUUACAAGGGGAUGAUUCUUAAAAGUAUAGUAUUUUGUGUAUAUCUUUUUAAAGGUAACAGAUAUCAACCUACUAUAAACUGCAAAGAUGAUCAGUAAUUCAAGACCUUCAAUUUGAGGUCAAUGUCAGGUCAUGAUGAAAUUUCACCUUGACAUUCACAGUAUACUAUGACCUUGACCUUGUGAUAUUUGAAAGGUCAAGUGGUCCUGACUUGAAUGGGGCUUGUCCCAUGUCUCUACGACUUCCGGUUCUUAAGUUUGGUAUUGCAUCAUAUAUUUGAUGAUUAAUUGUGACCUUGGUGAACUUUGAAAUUGUCCCAAUUCUUUUUCUAUAUGUUGUCCUUCAACUGUAGAUCAUUUAUCAUUUAACAGAUUUGAGAUAUCUAUUGUCGUUGUAGAGAUAAUGCAGUUUGAAGUUUUGCGAGCGGAGGCAUGUAUUUCUGAAUCAACAAGAGCGUACCUCUUCAAAUGUUU
rnacentral:lncRNA from 1 species